CGCUAUCACUCCUACGGGAGGCAGCAGUAGGGAAUACUUCACAAUAGGGCGCAAGCCUGAUGGAGCAACACCGCGUGAGUGAAGAAGGGUUUCGGCUCGUAAAGCUCUGUUGUUAAAGAAGAACACGUAUGAGAGUAACUGUUCAUACGUUGACGGUAUUUAACCAGAAAGUCACGGCUAACUACGUGCCAGCAGCCGCGGUAAUACGUAGGUGGCAAGCGUUAUCCGGAUUUAUUGGGCGUAAAGAGAGUGCAGGCGGUUUUCUAAGUCUGAUGUGAAAGCCUUCGGCUUAACCGGAGAAGUGCAUCGGAAACUGGAUAACUUGAGUGCAGAAGAGGGUAGUGGAACUCCAUGUGUAGCGGUGGAAUGCGUAGAUAUAUGGAAGAACACCAGUGGCGAAGGCGGCUACCUGGUCUGCAACUGACGCUGAGACUCGAAAGCAUGGGUAGCGAACAGGAUUAGAUACCCUGGUAG
rnacentral:rRNA from 1 species